GACGAACGCUGGCGGCGUGCCUAAUACAUGCAAGUCGAGCGGACAGAUGGGAGCUUGCUCCCUGAAGUCAGCGGCGGACGGGUGAGUAACACGUGGGCAACCUGCCUGUAAGACUGGGAUAACUUCGGGAAACCGGAGCUAAUACCGGAUACGUUCUUUUCUCGCAUGAGAGAAGAUGGAAAGAUGGUUUCGGCUAUCACUUACAGAUGGGCCCGCGGCGCAUUAGCUAGUUGGUGAGGUAAUGGCUCACCAAGGCGACGAUGCGUAGCCGACCUGAGAGGGUGAUCGGCCACACUGGGACUGAGACACGGCCCAGACUCCUACGGGAGGCAGCAGUAGGGAAUCUUCCGCAAUGGACGAAAGUCUGACGGAGCAACGCCGCGUGAACGAUGAAGGCCUUUGGGUCGUAAAGUUCUGUUGUUAGGGAAGAACAAGUACCAGAGUAACUGCUGGUACCUUGACGGUACCUAACCAGAAAGCCACGGCUAACUACGUGCCAGCCGCCGCGGUAACAC
rnacentral:rRNA from 1 species